GAUGAAGAUGCGGCAGCAGAGAGAGAAGAGCCAGCCCCAACAUUGGCAGUAGGAUCCCCAAACUAAGUCUGAUCACUUGUGGCACGGGAAUGUCAAAAUAUGCCUGCUACAGGUGACAAGGAGAGAAACCUCCUGUUUCCUUGUAAUAUUUGUCUUUGGGCUUUCCAAAAUGGGAAACAGAUCUCAUUCUGACUUUUAAUAUCUCAAUGCAUCGUUCUUGGUGGAUGGAGAAUGGGCCGGGCUGCACCGUGACCUCAGUGACCCCAGCACCAGACUGGGCACCAGAGGAUCAUCGUUAUAUCACUGUCUCGGGGUGUUUUCUUGAAUAUCAGUACAUAGAGGUGGCUCACAGUUCUCUUCAGAUCUUCCUUGCACUGGCAGGCUUCAUCUAUGCCUGUUAUGUUGUGAAGUGUAUUACUGAAGAAGAGGACAGCUUUGAUUUCAUAGGUGGAUUUGACUCUUACGGCUAUCAAGGUCCACAGAAGACAUCUCAUUUACAGCUACAGCCCAUGUAUAUUGCCAACAGCGUGCUCUAUGCUGUACAAGCCAAGAAGCCUAGGCAGUCCCUUCAAAACGAAUACGCUUUUUGAACAGAACGGGACAGAACCGAUGCUCAUGUACCUCCUUGCAGUGUGGCCACAGCUGAUGUUCUCAAAAGCAGCUUCCUGGCAUUCUGUGCCGGAGAUGCCAAUGCUCAUUUCCAGACCAUGGGAGAAGAACACAAUAAGAUGGCGGAAAUCAAUUGACAAGAGAAAAUUCUGCUCUUGGGAGGUGAUCGAGGAAGGUCAAAGUAAACAUGGGGACUACUCAAGGUGGGCUGGAAGACCUGUCAAAGAAACUGGUUCAGGAUGGCCUCCUGAUUCUUCAAACAGAAAAAAAAAUUCAAUUUCUGUGCUAAAAGAAAAAUAUAAAAGCUGAUUGAACAGGGAGACAGAAAACAACAGAGACUUUCAGCCCCUCUUUCUAACAGGUACUAAAGGAGAUGCCCCAGAGCCCCACCUUGGACCUCCUGCCUCCCAGCAUCAGAGGGACAGAGUAGAGGUAUUGGUGCCAUCUUUUGUCUCUUCCCUACCCCGGCCAUGACCAGCGUGACCCAUCCGGAUUAAGACAUGAACUCGGUGCUUUGGGAGCCUCCUUCACACUCCUGGUCGCAUCGAGUCUCCUUAGUCAACACAAGGCUGAAAUACCAGGAUGACCUUGCAGCAGAAGUCAAUAGACAGCGCAUUGUUUGCCCUGAAGGCUGUACAGUUCAUACUUGCCUUAACCCAACUGCGUUGCACAUUAGAGAAACUACGUGCAAGCUUUCUGAAGUUAACAUGCUGCUGUUAAUUCUGAACAAUUUCUAAGUCAGUGGUUUUCUUCUGUUUGGUUUUGCUUUGUUUUCAUGUCAGGGAAUAAGGCUCUGUUGCUCCAUGGCUCCAGAGCGACCAAGUAGAAAACUGCCAGCUGUCUGAUAAGUGCUUUACUUUUGAGACUCCACAGUGGUCAAGGAACAGUUUAUAAUGAUUAAAAACAAAAAGAAAGAAAGAAAUAAGACCUUCUGGGGGUCAGGGCGGGGAAAGGGGUAACAUAAACUAAUAACUGAACCUACUGGAAAUAAGCAGCAGAAAUAGUGCUUCUUAAUCCCGCUGGUUUUAUUUAUCGCACUGUAGGUGCUUUUAUAGCUGUCUCUAAACGUCUUUUACUAACUACAGAGACAUCUGCAGAUUUCUAUCAACAAAGGCCAAUUGAAUAUGUACUAGCUACGUUUACUCUUUUAUAUCUAAUUUCAACUAAAAAUUCUCUGUAAGUGAGCUUUUUUUUUCUAAUUGCACCAUAAGGGAUCCAUAUAUUUUAUUUUUUGAUUUCAGUUGGAGAGGGCGGGGAGGGAAUAGUUGAGUUGAGGAAAUAUUGAAGAUCUUUUUGUGGUAUAUUUGGGGGAUCUGUUGUGUGUUAGAAUGUGUAUUUUAUCUUCCUGUAUUAUUGUGGCUGAAAAAAAAA